CCAUCCAAAAGUUUUGUAAUAAAAGAUGCAGUACUCAGCUUUAGAAAUCAGUGUUUGUCUCCAUGUUUUUACUGUUAUUUUCUCUCUGCUUAUCAGAACUAUUGCUUUUCUACUAGAGAAAUUGGAACUGACAGCAACCAAGUCUUUAUUUUAUGACUUGUGAAUACUGAAUUACUGAUAAUUGAAGUGCUGUUGAAUAAUGUUUAUACGAUGCCUUUCAUCCAAGGGUUUCCAAGUGCCUUGUGCUCAUCAAACUUCAUUGCAACCAUGUGAAUUAAAAGGCAAAAAAUUGUCAUGGUUCUAUAAAUAUUAUUAUCCCACAUUUGAAGAACUAUUAAAAACUUGGAAUCUAGCAAACAGGAAUGUUAAUUAUGGCUUGCAUUUAGGAUGGAAAUUCUAG
rnacentral:lncRNA from 1 species